GUGGAAGGUCACAUAAUUUGAAUGAUUCACAAAGUUUAUCUUUUUUCUUAAUCAAUUAAAUCACCGAAAAGGAAGAAAAGGUAUUUUUCCUACGAAUUUAGUUUGUAUUGAAUAUAUGCUACACUGGAAUUUAUUGUCACUUAUGAUUACUCAGCAUUCUCUUUCCCGGGUAUGUAACGGGAUUCUUAUGUUCAUUAUUCAGAUCAAGGAGCUCGAGAGAAAAGUAAAAGAGCAGGAACAGAGCUCAGCUUUGCUUCGUCAACAGGUUGGAGAUAAAAUAAGCCUCUAAAGGAUCUCAUCACAUUCUUGGUGGUGUCGUAGAAGCUAAAGUUGAAAACGUUAAAGAGGCCUGGGAUGUACUGCAAGCUGGAAGCAAAGCUAGAGCAGUGGGAAGUAAUAAUAUUAAUCAGCAUAGUAGUAGAUCUCAUUGGUACCAAGCUUUUGCAUUCUAUAAGAAGCUCUCUAGUAUAUAUGUCUUCUCUUCAUCAAAAUGAAAUUUCUUCUUUGAA